AUUUAUAUAGUAUAAAAAUUAUCCCUAACUUCCAAUUAGGAAAUCUACAUUGUAGUAUAAAUA
rnacentral:tRNA from 1 species